rnacentral:rRNA from 1 species
AUGAUCGGUCGCCACGCCGAAGAGGAGGAGCAGGUGUCUGGGAUGCCCCGAAAAUCACUUGACGAGUCGCGCAUGGAUCAUCUCCAAGACGAGAUGCAGAAAUUGCUGCGAUCUUCCUCGACCAACGAGAGGGACGCAGUGAGAUCCUGGCUCAAGUCCGAGCGCUGCCUGAGCGCGCUCUCCCAGCUACAGUCUAUCUCCGCACGCAUCGAUGGUCUCCGCAGGUCGAACCCAGGCCUCGAUCAUGAACUGAAAUUGAAGCUGAGAUCUUCCAAACAUGAAUCAGACUCCGCGGAGGAGGAGCGGGAGUUCGCUGCCCGCCGUAGCAUGUGGGAAUUGAUCAACGCCAACAAGUUUGAAGAAUUGACAUCACUAACUUCCAUGCUCUUUACAAGCUGCACACCUGGACGCAUGCCAUGGUACGCUGUUAACCGGCUGAGCUUGCAAAUCUACUCAAUCAAGAUUGCAGAAAUUACUGAUCUCGAGUGGCCACUAGUGAUUUAUGGAAUUAUUGCCGCCCGAGACACUGUGGACAGCUGCCGAAACCCUCUGUUCCUUUGUCCAAGGGAUGAGUGGCAAUGCAUCACCCAACAGGAUCCCUUUUUGCGCUUGACUGGGCCCACUCGUGCAAUUUUGUGUGAAGACCCUGUUUCUUUUGAAAUCCAACUAAAAUUAAAGGGAAGAACAGAUUCUGAAGAUAGAGUAUUCAUCAGCGAUAUAUUAUCUCAUGAUGCGAAUGCUGGUGAUCGGUUUUCUACCCUGAAUGUAAGCAACCACUUUUGCAAGAUGGAGCUUUGCGUUGAGCGAUUUAAGGGGUCAGUCCAGGCAACUAUCUUGGAUGUUCAUGUCGUCGAACAUGGAUCACCGCCUUUUCCACAUGGCGGCCGAGUUGUCUGCUCCUCGCUGCCUCGUGGUCUACAUGAAGUCAAUUGGCCUUCAUCUAGGCAAAUUGUGUUGCUUCAUUCAGUUGAUGGGAGAAGGUUUACAAGUGAGCAUGGUUAUAUUGAUCUGCAGAGGAAUGUUGUUUCUGCUGAAUUAAGAGGAGAAUUGAUUGUCUGUAUCAAGGCCUACUCACCAUGUGGUGACAUAUGCGGUGAUGUUCAUUUUACACCCAAGAAGUGCAAUUUCAGUAAAGAGAGAAUUGUCCUUGGGGACAUGGAGGUCGAGGUUACAGUGGCUUGGUCUCUAAUGGUUGACGAUGAUGUGACUAUCCAGGCAAGUGGCCAUGUGGACCCAUUUGGGAUGUGCCCACCUCUACGCCCCUCUCUGUUGAAAGAAAUGGAUUGGUCUAUUUAUUAG